AGGUGAACUGCGGAGGACAUUAUUGAAUUAGGACGAGGGUUGGCGGUGGCCUCGAAAGAAGGGUGUGGGGAGAUGAGCUCUUAAAUCCACAACUCACCUGUGAACCCACCGUAGGCCUUCGGGCUUAUGUAUCAUAUACUCUGAAUGUGUCAUAGAAUGUUCAUGUUGCCUUAAAACGCAAUCAAAUACAACUUUCAACAACGGAUCUCUUGGCUCUCGCAUCGAUGAAGAACGCAGCGAAAUGCGAUAAAUAAUGUGAAUUGCAGAUUUUCAGUGAAUCAUCGAAUCUUUGAACGCACCUUGCGCUCCUUGGUAUUCCGAGGAGCAUGCCUGUUUGAGUGUCAUUAAAUUCUCAACCCCACCGAUUUGCUUCGGGGGGAUUGGACUUGGAGCGUGCUGGCGAAGGUCGGCUCCUCUUUAAAUGCAUCAGUGGAGAGAAACUUGCCCCAGUGUGAUAAUCCUGUUGCGCUGUGGUGGGUGAAAGUCUGCUUCCAACCGUCCCUCCGGGGACAUACGUCAUCUUAUUUUGACCUCAAAUCAGGUAGGACUACCCGCUGAACUUAAGCAUAUCAAUAAGCGGAGGA
rnacentral:rRNA from 1 species